rnacentral:lncRNA from 1 species
GAAAGAAUUCGCAUGGGGGCUUGCAAAUAGCAAGCACCCAUUUUUGUGGAUUGUUAGGCCUGACGUGGUAGAGGGAGACUCAGCUAUUUUACCCAGUGAAUUUUUUGAGGAGAUUAAGGAUAGGGGUUAUAUAGCAAGCUGGUGUCUACAGGACCAAGUGCUAGAUCAUCCAUCCGUUGGGGCUUUUUUAACACACUGUGGCUGGAACUCUACUCUUGAAAGUGUAUCCGGAGGCGUGCCUGUAAUUUGCUGGCCUUUCUUUGCUGAGCAACAAACGAAUUGUCGAUACGCAUGCACUGACUGGGAGAUUGGAAUGGAGGUGAGCCCCGAUGUGAAGCGUGACGAAAUCGAAGCACUUGUUAAGGAAAUGCUGGAAGGGGAAAAGGGGAUGAAGAUGAGGCAAAAGGCAAGAGAAUGGAAGAAAAUGGCUGUAGAAGCUACUGAUAUUGGAGGAUCAUCGUACAAUAAUUUUGAUAGAUUGAUUAAGUCUCUCCAUUAAGGUGGAUGACUGCUACAGUGA